GUCGAGCGAUGAAGCUGGAGCUUGCUCCAGUGGAUUAGUGGCGAACGGGUGAGUAACACGUGAGCAAUCUGCCCUUGACUCUGGGAUAACUGCGGGAAACUGUAGCUAAUACCGGAUACGACACCUUGGGGCAUCCCAGGGUGUGGAAAGAAUUUCGGUCAAGGAUGAGCUCGCGGCCUAUCAGCUAGUUGGUGAGGUAAUGGCUCACCAAGGCGACGACGGGUAGCCGGCCUGAGAGGGUGACCGGCCACACUGGAACUGAGAUACGGUCCAGACUCCUACGGGAGGCAGCAGUGGGGAAUAUUGCACAAUGGGCGCAAGCCUGAUGCAGCAACGCCGCGUGAGGGAUGAAGGCCUUCGGGUUGUAAACCUCUUUUAGCAGGGAAGAAGCGAAAGUGACGGUACCUGCAGAAAAAGCACCGGCUAACUACGUGCCAGCAGCCGCGGUAAUACGUAGGGUGCAAGCGUUGUCCGGAAUUAUUGGGCGUAAAGAGCUCGUAGGCGGUUUGUCGCGUCUGCUGUGAAAAUCCAAGGCUCAACCUUGGACCUGCAGUGGGUACGGGCAGACUAGAGUGCGGUAGGGGAGAUGGGAAUUCCUGGUGUAGCGGUGGAAUGCGCAGAUAUCAGGAGGAACACCAAUGGCGAAGGCACAUCUCUGGGCCGUAACUGACGCUGAGGAGCGAAAGCGUGGGGAGCGAACAGGAUUAGAUACCCUGGUAGUCCACGCCGUAAACGGUGGGUGCUAGUUGUGGGCCACAUUCCACGUGGUCCGUGACGAAGUUAACACAUUAAGCACCCCGCCUGGGGAGUAUGGUCGCAAGGC
rnacentral:rRNA from 1 species